UUGAUUCUGUCCAGAACUCACGCCAAACAUUUCCAGUUGCAUCACGUCCUGAUUUCUCUGAGCCAAGUUCCUUGUGACCAAGCUCAUCAGCAGCCUCCCAAAACUUCUCUUGCCACUCAAGAGCUUCGUCCGCACUAACACCUCUGGUCAUUGUCCACCUGCAUACAACACCAUCAGGUCUCUGCUCGAUUCCUGUCUCCUUCCACCACCUUGAACCGUCAGGAUUAAUUCCCCGAGUUGCUAAUUCAUCAACUUUGUCAAGAGCAUGAGCUGCUUCUGCUGCAUGUGCCGAGAACAAAGCACCAAGGUCACGUUCCUCUUCCAAGGAAGGAGUCUCCAGAUUGGUCUCAGAAACUUCUUCUUUUUCAACCCCAAGCAGUGACUGAAAAGGGAGAAGAAGAGGGUCGGGUUUGGGUUCUGAAAGUUUACUCUCAAAUGGAAUUGGAAGAAUGUCCACGGAUCGUGCUUUCUCCACAACUGGGUUAACUGGAGUUGGAUACACAGAAGAUUUUUCAGCCAUCUGCAAGUCUCUAACAUCACGCAUAUCUCUGUCAUCGUCUUCAGGAGGUGACCAGGACCAAAAAUCCGGACCUGGUGCUGGUGUUCUAUUUCCAGGAGUUCCUGAACGAGGCACGAAGAUUCCUGCACUUAGUGCUCCUGAUGAAUCUGAAGAUCAUUAAAAAGAAUUCUGUGAAGGAAUAGGAAACAUGCUGUAAACUACUUUACCUAGAUCUUAACCAAAAGCAACAAAUUGGUAUCCAAUAUUCCAACCAUAGGCAAGAGCCACUUUGAUAAAUCAUUGAUUAUACGUAUGUACCCCAGAUCUUGCAGUAAUAUUAAUCAUUUUUUUCUUUAAAAAGAAAAAAAAAAUCUUUUCACCUUUUUUUUCUGCCAACCAAGAACUCAAACCUAUAACAUCGACAAUAUCAACAGUAAACACUUGUUUUUUGAUGAAACAGAACAUAUCACUUGAUAAUCCAAAGAACAUCAAUAUCUACACAUCUAAAUAAUUCGUUUUAACAAAUUUAAAAUUCAAAUUCACAAAGACAAAAGUUUUGAACUUUACCUCUUUCUGGAACCUCAGCUGUUCCAUUACUCUCACUGUUCUUCACAAAUGGUGAGAUCUCAGCUGCUCC
rnacentral:lncRNA from 1 species